UACAGAGGGUGCGAGCGUUGUUCGGAAUUACUGGGCGUAAAGCGCGCGCAGGCGGCUCUUUAAGUCUACCCGUGAAAUGCCGGAGCUCAACUCCGUGCACGCCGGGGGAUACUGGAGAGCUGGAGACAUGUAGAGGCAAGCGGAAUUCCGGGUGUAGCGGUGGAAUGCGUAGAGAUCCGGAAGAACACCGGAGGCGAAGGCGGCUUGCUGGGCAUGGCCUGACGCUGAGGCGCGAAAGCGUGGGGAGCGAACAGG
rnacentral:rRNA from 1 species